CGCUUGCCAGGCAGGCGCUUUUGCCGCUGAGCUAAAUCCCCAGCCCCUCAAAAUAGUUUUAAAACCUGAUCAAAGUUUUGGUAAGAAAUUUUGUGGCAAUAAUCUAAUCAUAUAGUUAUUUCUUAAGUAGCAGAAAUUACUGUGGUAAGUUUAUACUUUUUCCUUGUAUUAUGUUGCCUUCAAAGUAGAAGAUUGAAAAGGACAAAUCAAACACCAUUAAAACUAAAACUAA
rnacentral:lncRNA from 1 species